GAUAACCUGCCGCAUGCAGGGGGAUACCGGCUGGAAACAGCCGCUAAUACCGCAUAAGCGCACGGUGCCGCAUGGCAGAGUGCGAAAAGGAGAAAUCCGGCAAGCGAUGGAUCCGCGUCCGAUUAGCCAGUUGGCGGGGUAACGGCCCACCAAGGCGACGAUCAGUAGCCGGACUGAGAGGUUGACCGGCCACAUUGGGACUGAGAUACGGCCCAGACUCCUACGGGAGGCAGCAGUGGGGAAUAUUGGGCAAUGGGCGCAAGCCUGACCCAGCAACGCCGCGUGAAGGAAGAAGGCUUUCGGGUUGUAAACUUCUUUUAAGUGGGAAGAGUAGAAGACGGUACCACUUGAAUAAGCCACGGCUAACUACGUGCCAGCAGCCGCGGUAAUACGUAGGUGGCAAGCGUUGUCCGGAUUUACUGGGUGUAAAGGGCGUGCAGCCGGGCAUGCAAGUCAGAUGUGAAAUCUCAGGGCUUAACCCUGAAACUGCAUUUGAAACUGUAUGUCUUGAGUGCCGGAGAGGUAAUCGGAAUUCCUUGUGUAGCGGCGAAAUGCGUAGAUAUAAGGAAGAACACCAGUGGCGAAGGCGGAUUACUGGACGGUAACUGACGGUGAGGCGCGAAAGCGUGGGGAGCGAACAGGAUUAGAUACCCUGGUAGUCCACGCUGUAAACGAUGGAUACUAGGUGUGCGGGGACUGACCCCCUGCGUGCCG
rnacentral:rRNA from 1 species